AGUUGGCACUUCUGGUUACAGACCAUUUUACGGUCAUACAUCAUUCAUAGCCGUAAAAGCCAUUUGCCCUCUGUCACCCAACCAAUCAGGAUCCAGCCAAGAGGAAGCGGAGCAGUAGCCUGGCAGUUUUCUCCAGGCUCCUCUGAAUUUCCUCAACCUGGUUCAGCAGAAUGUCACAGAAAAUUAACUCUCCGGGGUUAUUAGGGACCCCUUCCCUUCCCCCUCCCUACUAAGAAGCAAUGCGUGAUUUCAGGCUAGUAUCUACCCCAAUCACAAGCAACACCUUGUGACGUCCGGGGUAAGAGAGCAGCGGGCAUUGUACGCAGGCCCGGCACAACACCCGUCGCCUUGAACCACUCGAGUGAAGAGACAAAUAUUUUCCAAGAAAUAAGAUGCUUGAGAUGUCUGAACCCUGCCAAUGGACAAUGCGGCAACCUACAAGAGUUAUUUCAGGGCUAUCGAAUGGUUAUAAUUUAAGAUCCAUUUUACAAUCCCUCCAUACAUGGGCAGAGAAGACUUUCACAAUGAAAACUGCAGCAAGCACCAACCACAGCCAACCUGCAGUUCCUUUUUGACCCGCCUUUUUGACCUGCAGUUCCUUUUAAUAACGCCGUGCCGUUAUUAAUUGAAAAGUUAACAUCAACUGGACAGCAUAGAUAUUUUUACAAAUCUAUAGAGGCUUGAGCAGCGAGUUGCACAAAAACGGUCAUGGAGGAAAAUAACACAGAAGAAGUUGCCAGGAAAGAGCUAAAUGAACUUUCUCCUUGUUAAGAAAUGUUUAGGUCCUUUUGUUUGUAAAUGGCAGGUGGGUGGUACAAUUCCAGUGUAAUUUCAGAAAGCCAUCUUCUGAAUGUAAUAAACAUGUCUGCAAUAAUAGGAUUCAGAAAACCGCAAAA